rnacentral:misc_RNA from 1 species
GAUGAAGAACGCAGUGAAAUGCGAUACGUAAUGUGAAUUGCAGAAUUCAGUGAAUCAUCGAAUCUUUGAACGCACAUUGCGCCCGCCAGUAUUCUGGCGGGCAUGCCUGUUCGAGCGUCAUUUCAACCAUCAAGCCCCCGGCUUGUGUUGGGGACCUGCGGCUGCCGCAGGCCCUGAAAAGCAGUGGCGGGCUCGCUGUCACACCGAGCGUAGUAGCAUACAUCUCGCUCUGGGCGUGCUGCGGGUUCCGGCCGUUAAACCACCUUCAUAACCCAAGGUUGACCUCGGAUCAGGUAGGAAGACCCGCUGAACUUAAGCAUAUCAAUAAGCGGAGGA